rnacentral:rRNA from 1 species
AUGCUUGACACCAUCUGGGCAGAGCUGCCGGGGCAGGAAGUGGUUUAUCAAUGGGUUGAGUGGAUACGGAAUGCUUCAUUAUCACAUAUCUGGCUUGAUGGCAAAAUAAUGUUAGGCCAAGACAUUCCAACGCACAAAGGAGAUAUGCGGGCAAUCUCAAGAGCUGUCUCAUUGGACACUGUGAUCCCUUCAAUGCUCAGUUACAAUAGUAAGAAGCAUUACCAAGCUUUUCUUGAGGAUCUUCAUAUGUGCAUGAUAUGCAUUAACCAGAGCAAAGGUUCAAACUUCAUCAAGCUCCCAUGCCAACACUUGUUCUGCGUGAAAUGCAUGGAGACCUUAUGCAAGAUGCAUGUGAAGGAAGGUAGUUUGUUUCAGUUGGUAUGCCCGGACACCAAGUGUAAUGCUUCCAUCCCACACUAUUUAUUAAAGAGGCUUCUUAGCAAAGAAGAAUUUGAACGUUGGGAUAGGCUUGCUCUUGAGAAAGCGUUGGACUCAAUGGCAGACGUGGUUUACUGUCCAAACUGUGCCAUAGGCUGCAUGGAAGAUGAGGAUAACAACGCACAAUGUCCGAAAUGUUCAUUUACCUUCUGCGGUUCUUGCAAGGAAGUAUGGCAUCCAGGGAAGCAGUGUCUAACUCUAGAACAAAAGCUGCAGCGCCGGAAGGCGUCAGGCAAGUUGAAUGACAGGGAGAUGUCACAGGAAAUGCUGAACAUCAGAGAACUGUACAAAGAUGUUCGGGUAUGUCCAAAUUGUCGAAUGGCCAUCAACAAAAGCGCAGGCUGCAACAAAGUGAUGUGCACUAGUUGUGGUCAGCUAUUUUGCUUUCGUUGCUGCAAGACAAUCAAUGGCUAUGAUCACUUCAAGAACUGUCGGCUCUUCGAGGCUGCAGAUAUGACCGACUGGGACAAGAAAAUGAUUGAACUACAAAAUGGAAUUCAGAUGCGAGCUCAAAAGCAACCAUUGGGCAGCACCAUAAGAUGCCCCAAAUGUCGCGAAAAAAAUUUCAAGGAUGAUGAGAAAUAUGUCUUCUGUUGGGCGUGCCGAACCAGCUACUGCACACUAUGCAAACGGACAAUCCAGGAUAAGAUGCUAAAGAGGGGGCAUUGGGGCUCGCCGGAAUGCGUAGGGAUUGAUAAGUUAUAG